CGGACGGGUGAGUAAUGUCUGGGAAACUGCCUGAUGGAGGGGGAUAACUACUGGAAACGGUAGCUAAUACCGCAUAACGUCGCAAGACCAAAGAGGGGGACCUUCGGGCCUCUUGCCAUCGGAUGUGCCCAGAUGGGAUUAGCUAGUAGGUGGGGUAACGGCUCACCUAGGCGACGAUCCCUAGCUGGUCUGAGAGGAUGACCAGCCACACUGGAACUGAGACACGGUCCGAG
rnacentral:rRNA from 1 species